rfam:Desulfobulbus propionicus DSM 2032, complete genome.
AGGAGCCGGAUGAGCUGAGAGGUUCACGUCCGGAUCUGUGAGGGCCUAGGGGUGAGAUUCCCCUGGGCUACUCGAC